AGGAAAUGUAUAAGUUGUUUUCAUUGGUAUAUUUUAAAAUGAGCGGUAUAUCUAGGUAUACUUUUGAGGGUCAGAUGGUAUAUUUUAUCGAUAAAACAACGGUCACACUGCGCCAUAUUUCACAAAAUGUUAACUUUAUUGUAAAAACCAACACAAAAUCAAUAAUUAGCCAUCAAAAACGAUCUACACUCAUGGCAGAUUCCGCUGCAUGUCAAUUGCAGUACGAGUACAAGGCGAUCCUAAAUCUUGUGCAACAAGCUAAUGCAAGACACAUAGAGUGCCUACGUCGCUACUGGCGAGGUCUACUCAAUGGUAGGAAAGUGGUAUUGAAAGAAUAUCGGUGACCCUCACACCAAGCUGGAAAAUACUGAAGAGCUGAAGCAUGAUGUGUGUGAUCCAUGCGGUCUAUGUGGAUCAGACCAGGGAUAUCGCCUGCGGUGGAGCUUGGAGCUUUUUUAAGCUGAUCGCAAAGUGUAGCUAUAGUUCUCAUGAACUAUAGCUCGAUAACAGGAUUAGAUUCGUGUUGCUGGUCCACCUGGGCAUGAGAUCACAGACUUUGGCAGCGGUGCCAUAAACGCACUGACAGCAACAACUAACUAUUAUGUACCAGAUUUGGAUGAAUACGUGCCCAUUAAUUCAGAUAAUAGUUGGCCAAUAAAGAGGCUGCCAGCAAUGGGCAGAAAGAUCGGAUUCUGCAUCCCCUGUACAUCGAUGUCUAUUAGCUGCCAAGUUGCCCGAGUAAGAUCUACAGGAGUACCACGGUUUCGCAGAGCAAGUCUGCCGAUGUGCUGAAGAUUGACUUUGACUCCAUCAAGCAGCGGAAGCUAUAUCGCCAGACAGACAAUGAACUCCAACGGCGGCACGGCACUCGCAAAUAUCAGCUGCCAGUAUUGCAAGCUCGCGACUGAGCGAUUCGAAGCAGACAUUGAGCCGGGCCCCUCCUUUGACACAAGCCUUUCUGGAUGUUUAGUGGUCAAAUGGCUGCCAUGGAACUGGCCCAGAUGGUUACCCAGGACAUGAGCAAGGACUCGUAUUUGCGACAUUUUCUGCAAUUUAGCGUCGACGUCAAGCGAUGCAGUGAGACGAAAAUCAAAAACUCAUUCGUCAUCAUGGAGCCGAAGGAUGAGGACCUUACAGCUUUACAUACGCAAAUGAGCGAUUUGGUAUCGGUGUCGGUCCGGCUGCAGAGUGAAUGCCUGUCCCGUCACUGCAUCCAUCUUCCCGCUGAAGAUCACGGAAGGCUGGCAGCUCGUUGACCAUACAUUGUAGUGCAGGAGCGACUUCUACUUGGGCUGCUAUCAGGACUUCAAAUUCUCAAUCUGAGAGUGGGAACGAGUCGGAUUAAGGCGCAGGAUAAGAUUAGCAUGCAUAAUGUACAGAAACAUAGCCAAUUAUGCAAAAAUGUACUGAGGUUUUUGUUACAAAUAAAAGUGUAGCAUACUUUCAGACGGCUCAAAACAUUA